AUACUUACCUGGCAGGGGUGAUUCCAUGAUCAUGAAGGUGGUUUUCCCAGGGUGAGGCUUAUCCAUUGGACUCCAGAUGGGCUGAACCCUGCAAUUUCCCCAAAUGCAAAAACAAUUUAAUAAUAAUAAUAAUAAUGGGGGCAGCUAGGUGGCGCAGUGGAU